CCUACGGGGGGCAGCAGUGGGGAAUAUUGGACAAUGGGGGCAACCCUGAUCCAGCCAUGCCGCGUGUGUGAAGAAGGCCCUCGGGUUGUAAAGCACUUUCAGUGAGGAAGAACGCCUGGUGGUUAAUACCCAUCAGGAAAGACAUCACUCACAGAAGAAGCACCGGCUAACUCCGUGCCAGCAGCCGCGGUAAUACGGAGGGUGCGAGCGUUAAUCGGAAUUACUGGGCGUAAAGCGCGCGUAGGUGGCUUGAUAAGCCGGUUGUGAAAGCCCCGGGCUCAACCUGGGAACGGCAUCCGGAACUGUCAAGCUAGAGUGCAGGAGAGGAAGGUAGAAUUCCCGGUGUAGCGGUGAAAUGCGUAGAGAUCGGGAGGAAUACCAGUGGCGAAGGCGGCCUUCUGGACUGACACUGACACUGAGGUGCGAAAGCGAGGGUAGCAAACAGGAUUAGAUACCCUUGUAGUC
rnacentral:rRNA from 1 species